CCUCCUGUCCGAGCUGCUCUCCCGCCAGCACCUGGCCUGCGUCAGUAACCUGUUCUGGAGCACCAAUCGGCAGCGAGCGUGGGCGAAGGAGGCGGAGCUUUCUCUGCCGGGUCACCGGGCUCUGCCGCGGGUCAACCUGCUGCUGAUUGGCUGUCUGAGAGAGGGGCGGGGCGGAGAGUGGAGGCUGCCGGACGCCAGCGGCAGCGUCAGGUGUGAGUGCCUGUCUCCUUCUCCUCUGUGGCUGAAUCAUCCCGUCUUCCUGCCUCACUGGAACUACAUCUCCCACAAUGCCCCGGGGCAGGACCAGGACCAGGCUGGAGGCUACUUGGAGCUGAUUGGUUCUCCUGUUGUGCUGGGUCCCGGUCCUGAGCUGGGAUUGGCUGCUGGUCCUGGAGGGAGGGGCGGGGCUUAGCAGAGCAGUUGGAGUCAGAGAGGCUGCUGGUUUACUACAGAACAGGUGUGUGACUCUGACGACUCUCUCCUCCACUUCCUGUUGUGUGUGUGCAGCAGUGACGUUGUUUGUCGUCAGCUCUCUCUCACCUGCAGGAAACAAAACAACCAGAGAUCAGAAGAGAAGAAGAGGUUCAGUCGAGGAGAGCGAGACUUCAUGACGAAGAUGACUCGUCCUUUACAGCUCACCUGUCUGCACAUCAACACCCACUGAUCUCACCUGUACACUGACAGGAAGUCAGCAACAGGAAGAGGAGGAGCCAGCUCACCUGCACUUCAGUUUUAAUGUUUAAUGUUGAUAUAAGUUAUUAAAUCUUCUUUUAUUUCACACCACACACUGUUGUCAUGGCAACAUCACAGUCUCUCAUAAACCCGAGUCAGGUAAUAUUAUAAUAAUCAUCAAAAAUAAAUAAUAAAUUACAGAAGCAGCAGGUAUUGAUUUAUUUCAAUAAAACCAUUUAUUAUUAUUAAAAUAAAUAAUGAAUUAAUUAAACUAUAUUUUAUAUUAUUAUAUCACAGAGCUGCAGUGUGAUAUAAUAACAGAAUAUAAUUUAUUUAUUGAUCUGUGGUUUAUAAUAUCUGUAAUGAUGAUGAACAACCAGCAGGGGGCGUUUCACUGCUGCUGAGCAUCAACGCUCUGCUGCCUAGCAACAGAUGACACAGUGAGCAGCUGCUUUUUAAUUGGCUGACUUAUUAACAUUAAUAAUAAUAUUAAGACACUUUAUUUCUAUAUUUAGUUUAUUAUUUGCUUUCAGUAAAUAAUUUUAAAAUAUUUGUGUUGAAUUUAUGAAACAUUAUAAAUAAAGUAAACAAACAGUUUGA